rnacentral:rRNA from 1 species
AGGACGAACGCUGGCGGCGUGCUUAACACAUGCAAGUCGAGCGGUAAGGCCUCCUUCGGGGGGUACACGAGCGGCGAACGGGUGAGUAACACGUGGGUGACCUGCCCUCAGCUCUGGGAUAAGCCUGGGAAACCGGGUCUAAUACCGGAUGGGACUGCUUGCCGCAUGGUGGGUGGUGGAAAGUUUUUUCGGCUGGGGAUGGGCCCGCGGCCUAUCAGCUUGUUGGUGGGGUGAUGGCCUACCAAGGCGGUGACGGUA